rnacentral:rRNA from 1 species
UUUACGGGAACUUCACUCCCAACCCAAUGUGAACGUUACCAAACUGUUGCCUCGGCGGGAUCUCUGCCCCGGGUGCGUCGCAGCCCCGGACCAAGGCGCCCGCCGGAGGACCAACCAAAACUCUUUUUGUAUACCCCCUCGCGGGUUUUUUAUAAUCUGAGCCUUCUCGGCGCCUCUCGUAGGCGUUUCGAAAAUGAAUCAAAACUUUCAACAACGGAUCUCUUGGUUCUGGCAUCGAUGAAGAACGCAGCGAAAUGCGAUAAGUAAUGUGAAUUGCAGAAUUCAGUGAAUCAUCGAAUCUUUGAACGCACAUUGCGCCCGCCAGUAUUCUGGCGGGCAUGCCUGUCCGAGCGUCAUUUCAACCCUCGAACCCCUCCGGGGGGUCGGCGUUGGGGAUCGGCCCUGCCUCUUGGCGGUGGCCGUCUCCGAAAUACAGUGGCGGUCUCGCCGCAGCCUCUCCUGCGCAGUAGUUUGCACACUCGCAUCGGGAGCGCGGCGCGUCCACAGCCGUUAAACACCCAACUUCUGAAAUGUUGACCUCGGAUCAGGUAGGAAUACCCGCUGAACUUAAGCAUAUCAAAAGGCCGGAGGAA